UGAACACAAUACACUAUUUGCUCAUAGCACCUGAGCUUCUCCAAUCUUGAGACCCUCCUCUUCUCCUGCUUCUCUGAUUGAAGAUGAUGAGGUACCAGGAAUUGGUACCUUGGUGGCCUCAGAUCCUGUUUGUGACCAAAUUUGCCACAUGAGGUACAGUAACGAGAAUUCAGGUGGCCCCUCUGGUCUCAGAAGAAACCUGGUGUUUUGGAGAUGACUCCUGCCCUUACUGCUCUAGGUGGGCCUGAUUCUCCAAGCAACACCUCACAGCACCUUUUCACAUGACCUGAUACAAAACCCU